UUAAAUCCGGCACAAUCGACGGACAAAAGACAAUCGGAACGGACCGGACAAUUGAAUCGAGGUAUAAAUUCAAUUGUGCUUUUGCACAUGGAACAGCUCUCGACUCGCGCAAUCUUCCUCUGCUCUCGAGCCUCCACUCUCGAUCUCCCUUUUGCGUUGUCCCCCUCCCUCGCAUUUCUUCUGUCACUUCCCUUUCCGCCGCCGAACAUCGGUGCUUCUUCCACUUUCCGCGCAGUCCGUGGAACCAUGGCUUUCGAACGCCAUUGCCAGUGCCGUGUGGGUGUUCUCCUCCCCUGGACGUCACUACCAGAAACCCUCUCUUGCUGGCCGUGAGGAGCCACCCAUGAGAAGCCUCUAUCGCCGCGUGUGAGGAGCUACCAUCUCCACCCAUUUCUUUCUCGCUGGCCGUUUCUCUCUCUUCCAACGACAGGAGGUAAGCCUCCCUCAUUCCUCUCUCUCUCUCUCUCUCUCUCUCUCUCUCUCUCAGAAAUGGCUUUUUUUCUCUUCCCUCCUCUGUCGUUUUUUCCAAUUCUCGGUGAGCCAAUGAAUCUCUCAGUCUUGUUCGUCUAUUCUCGCGCUUCUUUGGUUCUUCUCCUUCCUCUGCUGCAUCAAUGAAGUCCAGGUCGUGUGGAAUCUUGAGAUAAGUUUGUUUGUUGCUGUAUGUACUUUAAUUUUUUUCUGUUUUAAUAUGUCCUAAUCUAUCGACUGAUAAUUGUUGUUGUUUCAGCUUAUUCCUUUUUUUCAUGUGUACCACAGGUCGCAGGUGCUUCAUCUCAACCGAGGCCUCAAGCUCCUCUUUAAACGUCUUCUUUGUUCCUCUCCCUUAUUGACCCUCGAAUGAUGAGCCGAAAAAACUCAAAUGUAGGAAGGAACUAGUUCUCUGAUAAAACUAGAGCUCCCUUUGAUUAGGCUUGCUUUAGCUGAAGUGCUUGUAGUGUAAUCUGAAAAUUUCAUGUAUGUAAUGUUCAUCACCUAUUCUUAGAAAACCAAUGCACCCUUGAAUCAAACGGUAGCAGAAUGCAGAUGUAUUGUUUUGUUAAUAAAGUUACACCAUUGCUUUUA